GUCUCCAUGCUACCUCAUGGGUCCCAUGUGCAAAUUCAGAGGGAGUUAGAAUGAAACCUGCAGUGGAAAUUCAGGCUCUGACGUCAGCAACCUCGUUUUGCAAAAGCUCCAGUUGGCCACCUUGGUUCCAACUGAUUUCAGCCGGCUUUUCUUGAUCUCACAAGCAGAGGGAGUUUCAGUGUUUCAGCGAGUUGGUUUUUUUCUUAUCUGCUACUCUGCAAACACAAGAAUUUCUGUUAGCUACUAGUUUCUUACUCUUUGGAGUGCCGUUUCAGUUUCAGCUUUUCACCAAGUUGUUUCUUAUCCGCUACCCUGUAAGCCCAAGAAUUUAGUCAUUGGUUUCUUUAACGGUUGGAGGAGGCAGGGUGUCAGCACCCAUCUGCCCCCAGUAGUGGGGACAAUUGACCUUAGUCUUAUGUGAAGUGCCAGUAAGAUGCAGCUUAGCCCCCUCACUCCAUAGACAAUGCACUGGACUGUCUCUGCCACAGCCCAGGACUGCGUCCUGGCAUCCCUGACCAUUUCAACCCCCAUUUUAGUGUUCUUUCCUCCUCACUGCCAGAAAGCCAUUUUAGGCAGCUUGUGGGUGUUUUUUAGAAGCGAUGUGUGUGUGAGAUGAAGGAGGCUUCCCUUUGUUUUGGCUUUAAACCUGUCUGUGUAAGUGAGAGUGAGUGGAAAGCUAUGGCUCCUCUCUCCAACACUCCCAAGGCAGGCAGCCCUGACCUCCUCAAUUGCAGAUCAGAAGGGGGCCUUUGGAAAUUAUCCAGACCAGUGAAUCUCACCAUUUUUCUCCCCUGCCACAUCAUACAUGAUGGAUGAAGUCCACAUGCUUAACAGGAUUCCAUGCAUGCACUUAUUUUGAUGGAACAGCCAAAAACAUUCUGUGAGGAAGUAAUUGUCCUCAGGAAAGGGAAUAAUGGUUGCCUCGGCAUGGGGUGGAGGCCCCUGAGUGUACUCUGCCAUGAGACCCCUUCCUUCCCACUCAGGAUGUAUUUCGAAUGCAGGAGCACCCAGGGAGCAAGAGAAGCCCUGAGACAGCAGCAAGGGACACUGUGGGGCUGCAGGGUAAGGAAAAUGAGAAACAGAGAACCUAAGCAAGUUUUAAAUUGGAGAAGUUGACAGAAAAAAGUUGCAAGAACAUCAUAAAAUAUUUUAUCAAAAUUCUUCAAUUUUCAGAUAAACUGAGGUCAAAGAGCAUAAGCGUCUUGAUUAUUUUAACACAGCUCAGUAAAGAC
rnacentral:lncRNA from 1 species